UGCUAUUGCUAGCUGAGAGAUUUUUAUGAUAUUGUAGCCCAUUUGAUUUAAAAUGGGAUAGUCAUUUCGGCAGAAUAUGUUAUGGUAGUGUGAUAAAGACUGGUUUGGUCUGUUUUAAUGUGUCGCUGCUAUCCUUAUGUAGCUUAUGCUAUGUUAGCAGCAUGUAGCUGCUAGCUAGCAUGCUGCUAGGCGCGAUUGCAUCAUUUCGCAAGUAUUGAUAAUGCCUAUAUAUAGCUAUAUGUUUGAGUUCACGUUUGCGAUGCAAACCUAUAGCUGAUAAAUUGGCACUGGUAUUUCAGUCAAUGAAGUGGGGUCAAUAUUACAGCCAGUGAAGCACUUGUCUGCUAUGAUAGCUAGCAGGUACAAUUUUAGCAUGUUUAGUUUCUAGCUAGCUGUGCAUUAAGUUUGCAUUUUGUCAAGUUUGGUCUCAUGUGUAGUGUCUAUCUGCCAUCCUCUUUAUAAUGAAAAUCAAGCUUCGGCAUUUUAAUCACUGUUUAAGUCGGUUCAGACAACUAAUGGGUAUUGGCGCCUGUUUGAACGUCAAGAAGUACGGGCUUUUCUGCUAAUGGUUGCUACCGACCAUUACUUUGAAACCAUUCAGCAAAUACACAGUACAAAUGGAGAUUUAACAUCACCGCUCAUUUUACACACCGUUUAAAAUGAGCGGCUAGUAAUGAGUGAACAUUACUAGCUAGCUAGCUACGUUUUUCAUGUUGGUUUUGAGCGGUAGGCUCCCCCACUAACCUAGAAAAUAGUUUUAAAACAGUAAAAUUAGCUAGCUAGCUAGCUAAUACGGAGGAAUACUCCAUGCAGCGGGGGAGUCAGAGGCAGAGGGACAGUCACCGCAGCGUUAGCUUCUUGUUUCAUUUGGGGUCUAAUAAACAGUCUAGUACUUUUUCCUUCCUUAUACUUCUUCCCACCUUGGGGCACCAUUCAGGUUAACUUUCAGCCCAUCUAACUUGCUUAUUUGUAUACAUUGUAGGCCUAUACUUGGGCAAUGCUGUAGUCCAUGUUAUUCCUUUUUUGAUGAUGAAUAAAUACCCUUUUUCUUUCUUUCUACAUUAAGGAUGCCUUUUCAUCUAAUUGAAUUUCAGGCAAGCGAGGACAUUGCUUUUGUGCCAGUUGACUGGUAUGAUGACGUGAUGGUGUACUGGCCCAGCUGAACGUGUGAAACGGGCAGCUGCUAACGAGGAGAAGCAUGAGCCAAACUGGCCAAGAUAUGACGUAAAGGUCGUCAGAACUUGUGACAACUACAAAGACGCCAUCAGGCUAAUGAAUCAAUAUCAGACCGGCUGCAACGCCUCUGAGCUACAGUCUGAGGCAGAGCAGGAGGGAUAGCUGCCAGAGAAAUGAUUCAGGAAGCCAAUCCAUCGUUUUGGGGACUCUGAUGAGAGUGAAGAAGAGCCAGAAAAUUCGGCUGGUGUAUCAGUUGGAGCCUCAAGCCCAAACCAAUUACACUGGCAGACUCCACCAUCUCACUGAGUGCCAUGCAGCAGAGUCACUACUCCUCAACCUGGAGGAAACUGUCUAGCACCUGACCAUGGGGCCGGACCCCAACACCCUUCACCACCUCAACUCCCUGCACCUGUAUUUAAAAUGAGGAGAGUUACUCAAGGUAGGGACUGAUUUCUGAAAUAUUAGUGAAUUGGAAGGCCCCAAAGUGUAUUAUAAGUCAUGGUUAACAGAUGACUACCAUUUAAUUAAAAAUAAUUCCCACUCUCUCACACCACCCAACUCACUAUGGGCCAGGAACGGCAGUCCCUCCUCAACUCCCUCCACCCCCCGCACCGGCCCUCAACAUGAGGCGAACAGAGGAGCCCUCUUCAAGCCUGGCCUACAGACCAACAUGGCGAGGGGGAGGAAUGACCGAUACCAUUCCCUGCUCUGUGGCUGAGGUCCACAUCCUUAGCCUGCUGGAGACCAUUAAACAACAACAAGACCAGCUUGUGGCAAAGGUGAACUACCUCAGCAGCAGGCUGAACAGCAACCCCAGGGCCAGAUGUUGAGAUGCUGGACAAUAUCCAGUUUCCCCUAGGACAAUUGGAGGCAUUUGAAAUGUUUUUAAAGGAACCGUCAAAUGGCCCAGCUCGACAGAGCGUGGUGCUGUGAGGAAAAACACAGUGACACGGUCAGCCAUGGAAGCAGAGGUCACCAAGCACGCAAUCAGGUGGUUCAACCUGGCAGCGGAUCGGGCAACGAGGAGACGUGUCCCGCCUCAAGCCACACAAACGGAGUAAUAGGAGAAAUAAGCAAUAAACAAUAUUUUUAUUGAA